rnacentral:rRNA from 1 species
UACGUAGGGGGCUAGCGUUGUUCGGAAUUACUGGGCGUAAAGCGCACGCAGGCGGCUCGAUAAAUUAGAAGUGAAAGCCCCGGGCUUAACCUGGGAAUUGCUUUUAAGACUGUCGGGCUAGAAUCCAGAAGAGGGUAGUGGAAUUCCGAGUGUAGAGGUGGAAUUCGUAGAUAUUCGGAAGAACACCAGUGGCGAAGGCGACUACCUGGUCUGGCAUUGACGCUCAUGUGCGAAAGCGUGGGGAGCAAACAGG